GUUUCCGUAGUGUAGCGGUUAUCACAUCUGCUUCACACGCAGGAGGUCCCCGGUUCGACCCCGGGCGGGAACA